rnacentral:rRNA from 1 species
GGGGGAAUAUUGGACAAUGGGCGAAAGCCUGAUCCAGCCAUGCCGCGUGUGUGAAGAAGGUCUUCGGAUUGUAAAGCACUUUAAGUUGGGAGGAAGGGCUCAAGGCUAAUACCCGUGAGUUUUGACGUUACCGACAGAAUAAGCACCGGCUAACUCUGUGCCAGCAGCCGCGGUAAUACAGAGGGUGCAAGCGUUAAUCGGAAUUACUGGGCGUAAAGCGCGCGUAGGCGGUUUGGUAAGUUGAAUGUGA